rnacentral:tRNA from 1 species
GGAGAGGUGGCUGAGUGGUUGAAAGCGGCAGUCUUGAAAACUGUUUUGGGGGUUUCCCCAACGUGAGUUCGAAUCUCACCCUCUCCG